GCUGGGUGUGGUGGCACGCACCUGUAAUCCCAGCUACUCGGGAGGCUGAGGCAGGAGAAUUGCUUGAACCCAGGAGGUGGAGGUUGCAGUGAGCUAAGAUCAUGCCACUGCAGUCCAUCCUGGACAACAAAGCGAGACUCUGUCUCAA
ensembl:misc_RNA Metazoa_SRP Metazoan signal recognition particle RNA